UGGCCCAAACAAAAAGUAAAGGCCCAAAACAUUUUAUUAUUUUCUUUUAUUUUUUUAAAACAAAACCCCAUUCUUUUAUCUCUCUUUAUCUUCUCCUUCUAUCUUCUUUCUCCCUCUAUAUCCGACGGAAAAAGCACGCCGCCUCCCAACCUCCCUGUCGGUUUCCUCCAAUUCGUCGGCUCCCCAUCGUCAUCGUCACGAUGCCGCUGCUGUCUCGCUAAGAAGUCGUGAAGCCGCCGCUGCCACACCGCGACACCACUGCCGCUGCCACUGGAAGAGAAGCUGCUGCCGUUGCCCGCCGGAGGGACUGCUGGUCGCCGGCCGCCGUCGCUGGAGUCGCCGGACAGCGUUGGGGUCGCCACCGCCACCGAGCCUUCGAGAACCGCCACCGUCCGCUUCGGUCAACCGCUGCCGGCAGUCUCCCCUUCCCCGAAACCACUCCGAACAACCCCGAUUCAACCCGCAACAUACGUUCUUAAUAUAAAGAAAGGCUUGGUGAUAGGAAAGGAUUAUACCUCCAAAAAUGGUUGAAUCAAUGGGGAAGCAAUCCCUUCUCCUCUCGGCUUCUCUCUCUCGGCCCUCCUCUUUUUUUUUCUUUUGUUGUGAUGUGUAAUGUGAGGAGUUUAGAGAUUAAAAGAGAAGUGGUGGAUGGCUCUUGGUUUGUAAGCAUUGAUGGUGGUAGAUAGAAGGUGAAGAAGUUGGAGAAGGUGAAAGGUGGAGAGUUUUUUUUGUAGGGAAAGCCGUCGCCUACUUGGAUAAGGAGAAGAAUAAACUUUGGGCUUGUUCCCAUUUACUUGGAAUUGUAUUGGACUCCAAUUGAAUUAAUUUAAUUGCAUGUUGUUGGGCUCAAGUUAUUGCAAGCCCAAGUUGGAA